UUGAACGCUGGCGGCAUGCCUUACACAUGCAAGUCGAACGGCAGCACGGGGGCGACCCUGGUGGCGAGUGGCGAACGGGUGAGUAACGCAUCGGAACGUACCCGGAAGUGGGGGAUAACGUAGCGAAAGUUACGCUAAUACCGCAUAUUCUGUGAGCAGGAAAGCGGGGGACCGUAAGGCCUCGCGCGAUCGGAGCGGCCGAUGUCAGAUUAGGUAGUUGGUGGGGUAAAGGCUCACCAAGCCGACGAUCUGUAGCUGGUCUGAGAGGACGACCAGCCACACUGGGACUGAGACACGGCCCAGACUCCUACGGGAGGCAGCAGUGGGGAAUUUUGGACAAUGGGCGCAAGCCUGAUCCAGCAAUGCCGCGUGCAGGAAGAAGGCCUUCGGGUUGUAAACUGCUUUUGUACGGAGCGAAAAGGCUCUCUCUAAUACAGGGGGCUCAUGACGGUACCGUAAGAAUAAGCACCGGCUAACUACGU
rnacentral:rRNA from 1 species